GAAACCAAUGGAGCAUCUAGGAGGCCAUCGUGUGAAAUCGUGGAUUGUUUAAGAGAAUCGGGAGUGCCAGACCUUGGAGGCAAUGGCCAUAUCGACUACACGGUGACCACAUACCAGGCUAAAGUUGCUGUUGUCUGUUACCGCGGGUUCAUCCCUCGGUCAUCCACUCUGGAGUGUCUAGCUGACGGCAGCUGGGACCAGAUAGCUGCAUGUGAGCCCGUACAGUGCAAUGAACCUGAGACGGUACCCAAUGGGCGGUACACAUGUGAGGGAUACAGCUUUCCCGACAAGUGUAACAUCAACUGUGAGCGGGGGUUCCACCCGACUGGGGAGGUGGACACAUUGGGGUGCAGCUGGACCGGGAACUGGACUGUGCUGCCGAGGUCCAACGCUUCGGCAGAGGUGGACAA